UCAGAACAAUCUUGGGGUAUCUGCUUAAGC
rnacentral:piRNA from 1 species